UAAUUUACACUCAGAAUUAAAUGCCAAGUAACAACAUCGAAGUUGAAGAUGGGUUGAUCGGAUGACGCCACGUAGUUCAAAUGAAACUUAAUUCUCCAUCCUCCAAACUUUUCUUUCUCUAGUGAAACUCAGAAUUAAGAUCGACCAAUAUUAAUUUUCUAAUUAAUUCAUAUGUUUACUUGGAACAAAAUGAAAUAUGGUACUGUUACUGUAGAGUUUAUUUGGAAAUUUCAGGUUCUAUUUGCUAUAUACAUGAAAAUAAUUUUAAUUAAUUCUUGUGUUGAAUGUGUUUAUGCACGUAUUUAUUUAUGUUAUAUAAAAAUUGUACAUGUAAAAUAAUCAAACUACAAAGAAAUUUUUUUAAAAUUUCACGUUUCUUCACUCUCUGAGUAUUCACCUGCUCCUCUUUCUUUUGAAGUUUUGUGCUUUAUUUUGUUUUUUGUUUUUGUUUUUCAUGUUGUGAAUCAUGGAAGUAUUAAUCGAGUCUUGAUCGAGGUUGACACCAGAGGCGGCAAUAGGGAAACAGUCGUCGACGACGAAGACGUAGACGGCGUUGUGGCUGUAGACAACGUGCAGGGUGGUUUAGACGGCAUUAUGGUCUCAUCAGGCGGUUCCUUGCCAUUUGGAUUAAAGGGUGCUGCUCCUUCUUCAAACCCUCCUGCCACCGUAGCCAGAACAUUUAGGGAAUACAAGAAUCUAACUGCAGGUGAAGAUGGUCAAUCACUAAGAACUAGAGUGUUAGCAAACUCUAAUCAAACCAUGUAGACAGUUCUUCAUGAUGAACAUCAUACCGAGAAUCAACAAUUUUUUGGUUUGGCAAUUGAACAAGAGCAAGAAGUGGCUACCAAUACAGGUUAGUAAAUUUUAACAAGACUUCCUAUUUGUUGGUGCUUAUUUGAAGGGUCUACAAGAUAAGGUUAGAUAUCGACCCUCACAGAGUGGAUCAUUGUUAGCUUUUUAGCUAGACCACCCGGAUGUUGUAACUGAACUUGUACGAAGUAUAACAAAUGUUCGAAACUUGAACACAUGAGCUAUUGGAGAUUCGAGAGCGUGAACAUUAUCCAGAGCCGACUAUCAAUGUAUAUAUGAAUUUUCAGUCUAGUCAUGAUGCAAAUGCAAAGAAUUCAUAAA